GUCUUUGCCAGCUGUGCCAACCAGGCAGGCACCAACCUAACUGGCUGUACCCGGGCUGUGUUGGCCACAUAGGGCUAAACUCGUUCCUGGGCUCUAAAUCCAGGUGGAGACGGACAACUCUAUUUCCCAUUGUGGUUUCACUCCGUCGUUGACAGCCAAGGCAGGAUCAGAAGCAACGUCAUGGAUGAAGGCAUCGAUCAACAUGUCAGCUGUGAGGAAGGGCUCCAUGGUGGAAGGCGAUUCUGUGAUUCUGGUAGUUUCUGUUUAUUUACCCCAUUGUGAGUUGGACCAGAACCAGAUCCUACCUGCAUCUCUUUGGGGUGUUCAAAAUCCACUGCUGGCAGAACACAGGAAAGAUUAAAUGCUCAGCAUUUGUGCCAUCCUCCCCAGUCCCUGAAGAGAAGAAGGGGCUAGCAGCCACCAGCACCCUUUCUGGACCAAGGAGAAGAUGUGUCAAGGUAGGGAUGCAGGAGGGACAGCAGGGUACUAGGUUCAAAGAUUUUGGUCUAAACUCUGCAUCCAAGCUUCUGCCCUGGUGAGGUUCUACUGCAACGAGAGACCAAGCCUAAUAAAACACAUGGAGGGCUGUGCCACAGGCACUGAGACACAGCCAGGCUGCAGCUUGUUGGAAGGGACAAUCCCCAUCAGCGUGAAGAAAGAAGAUCCAACGACUGCAUUUAAUGUGUGGACAUCUUAACCUCUCUGAGACGGCCAGCCCACCUCCUCCUGCCGCAGUCCCAGCCCAGCGUGCAUCGCCGAUGGCAGGACUGAUGUAAAGCUGUAAUUGCCAGCACGGGGCCUGGGCCAAGGGGAAUUUGCUGAGACAGUCGGGCUCUCCAGCAGCCUGUCAGUUCCCAGGUCUGCAAUGGAAAUUAAUCACUGAAGCUCAAGGAAGCACACCUUAAACAACAAACCCCACCGGCUACUCUGAGGAGGCAGGGCACGUCC